rnacentral:rRNA from 1 species
CCUACGGGUGGCAGCAGUAGGGAAUAUUGCUCAAUGGUGGAGACCCUGAAGCAGCAACGCCGCGUGGAGGAUGAAGGUUUUCGGAUUGGAAACUCCUUUUUUUAGAGAAGAUAAUGACGGUAUCUAACGAAUAAGCACCGUCUAACUCCGUGCCAGCAGCCGCGGUAAUACGGAGGGUGCAAGCGUUACUCGGAAUCACUGGGCGUAAAGAGGGCGUAGGCGGGAUAGCAAGUCAGAUGUGAAAACCUAUGGCUUAACCAUAGAACUGCAUGUGAAACUGUUAUUCUAGAGUAUGGGAGAGGUAGGUGGAAUUCUUGGUGUAGGGGUAAAAUCCGUAGAGAUCAAGAGGAAUACUCAUUGCGAAGGCGACCUGCUAGAACAUAACUGACGCUGAUGCGCGAAAGCGUGGGGAGCAAACAGGAUUAGAUACCCCAGUAGUC